UCGAAUAUAGGUUAAAACGGGUAAAAAUUGGAACGAUACACAGAAGAUUAGCAUGGUCCUUGUGGAAGGAUGACACACACCAAUUGAGAAAUGGUUCAAUUUUUU